AAAUUUAUAGUAAAAGGAAAAUCCGUGAUUUAAAAAAUCGUGAGGGUUAUCCCC
rnacentral:tRNA from 1 species